UACAGAGGUCCCAAGCGUUGUUCGGAUUCACUGGGCGUAAAGGGUGCGUAGGUGGUGGGGUAAGUUUGAUGUGAAAGCUCCGAGCUUAACUCGGAAACGGCAUUGAAUACUAUCCUGCUUGAGGUUUGGAGGGGGGACUGGAAUUCUCGGUGUAGCAGUGAAAUGCGUAGAUAUCGAGAGGAACACCAGUGGCGAAGGCGAGUCCCUGGACAACACCUGACACUGAGGCAGCGAAAGCUAGGGGAGCAAACAGGAUUAGAACCUAC
rnacentral:rRNA from 1 species